rnacentral:rRNA from 1 species
AACGAACGCUGGCGGCGUGGAUAAGACAUGCAAGUGGGACGCUGAUUAGCAGGUAGCAAUAUUUGCUGGUUGGAGUCGCGUAAGGGUGCGUAACACGUGGGUAAUUUGCCGCGAAGUCAGGAAUAACUCGUCGAAAGGCGAGCUAAUACCUGAUGUGGUUGAAGGCAGGCAUCUGUUUUCAACUGAAGCCGGGGAUCGUAAGACCUGGCGCUUCGCGAUAAGCCCGCGGCCUAUCAGCUAGUUGGUGGGGUAACGGCUCACCAAGGCUUAGACGGGUAGCUGGUCUUAGAGGACGACCAGCCACACUGGAACUGAGACACGGUCCAGACACCUACGGGUGGCAG